rnacentral:lncRNA from 1 species
UGUGCCUGAAUUUGGAAAUAUGGUGUUUGAGGAUGUUACCAAGUUCAAAUGAAAUCCUUAGAGUGGGUCCUAAUCCAAGUAGAAGGAGUCUUGAAGAGGAGAUUAAAAUGCAGAUGUGCACAAAUGGAAGACCACAUGUAGAACUCUAAGCCAAGAGGAGUGGUCUCAGAAGAAAUCAACUCUGACACACCAGUCUUAGAAUUCUAGCAUCUACAAUUGUGAGAAAAUGUAUUUCUCUUCUUUAAACUACUGUCUGUGGUUCUUAGUUAUGGAACCCCUAGAAAAUUAACACACCGGGUCAGUCUGCUUUAGAGUCAACCCUUUUCAAUCCUCUUUAUCUGUUCCUGCAGCGCUGGCUCUGACUUGGAAUGUUUAUGCCUUGGAAUGGGAUUAGGCCUGUGGGGUGCCUAGUAACAUUCUGUUCCAUUGGAGUAAAUUCCAGGAGGCAGUUUAGUGCUCAGCUUGGCCCUGAAGGAGGAUGUAACCUCAGGAAACAGAACUCCAGUCUCCCAAAUGAAAAGCUUCCUGUAGCUACUCCAAGUCCUUCUAGGAAGAUCAACUGGAGAUUGAGACAGUGGAGAGACAGUCCACAUCCAAGCACCCUGAAUGCAUCAAAAAUCUUUGAGAAACGAUCUCCCAAAGCUCUGAGUUGACCUGCCUGGGCCAGGUGUGUGUACAGAGCUUGCUGCUUUGAUGAGUUUAGACAGGCCACCUACACAGCUCACCCCAUCUUCUGAGUGGACACACUCUUCGGAGGGAACCAGACAAGAACCUGUGAGGACAACUUUGCUGUCACCCCUGUCUGAGCCAAGAAGGAAAGUACAUUUUUUCCAAGUGCAAGCUCUGAGCUUCUGAAACUCAACAGCACAACGGCACAGUGGGACUGAUAUCAGGAGCUCAUGCAGAAAAUAAAAGAUUGGAAAAACACCCCUUUACUGGGGCUACAGUCACAUAAGUAUGAAGUCAAUGCAAAAAGGAGAUCCACUUCUUAAGAAAACCUGUUAAUAUUCUAGAUUAUUUAAAGAUUAUAUCUAAUUUUCUCUGAACAAAUUCAAAUAUGGGCAAACACAUGUAUAUAUUUCCUGAGUAAAAUAUGUCAUAAAAUACAUCAGUAAAAUACAUCAAAGGAGAAACUCUAUGGGCUGCUUCCUGGAAAGCAAUAUUGUCAUUCACUAAAAGUCAUUAAGGGGUUCUAUCAAUUUCUUUGUCAUGUAGAUUAAAGAAUGUAGCUUGCUGUGCAUUGGAUAUGGGUUGAAUGUGGCCCUCAAAGGCUUAUGUGUGGGAAGUUUGAUCCUUAUUGAUGGGCUUUAGCAGGCAGAGCCUAGUGGGAGGUCCUUAGAUCACGGUGGGUAGACUGACUUCAGAAUGGUGUGUGGGACCUUAGCUUUUCCUGGUUUCUUCUUUUUAUAUGGGAUUUCUUGCUUCCAUAUGUGCUUUUGCUAUUGUGACACUUUUGGCUGCUAGACUCUCACCAGAGUUAAACUGAUGCGGGUGCCUUAUAUUUGAUCCUUUAGAAUUGUGAGCUGUAUAAACGUUUUUCUUUUUUAGCUUGUCUUAGCUGUUUCCUUAUAUUAACAAAAAAAAGGCUAAUUCAGGGACUGACAGUGAGAUGUCUGAAAGUGAGACUUAAGAAGGCUACAGUGGGAUUUCUCAGAAGCAGAUUUUAACACAAAUAUCGGUAACAAAGGUUUUUAGGGAAGUGUUCACAGGAGAAGUCCAUAUGCAGUACAGAGCUUUGGAUAAAGCUAAUCAGUUUUAGUUGUGGAGAAUAGGAUCAGCUUGUUCUUCAUGGAGUCUCUCAUGUGUAGGCUGAGGUUCCGUUUGCCUCCCCCGAAGAUGAGAAGCUGGGCUUUCAAUGGGCUGAGAACUCCCCAGUACUUGCUGCGCCUUGAGAUGUCUGCAGGAAAAUGGACUCAGGAACUCUUGAGGAAAUUAUCCAAAGAAGAGUAUCAGGAGGAUGCAAGGAGAUCUAGGAAGAGCAAUGAAUGUCUUCCAUAGGCCAAGCCUGUCUCUGCUAAGACACUCUGCAUAAUGCCUUGGUUUCUGCAGGAUGGUGGUUGGAAGGUUUGUGGGAUGGGUUCUAAAUAUCCCUCUCCCCAUGGUUUGCACCAAGGCUAUAACUGAUUUUUUUCUCAUCUUCACCACUCAUCCAUCAAGAUUCUGUUCUGUCCACUUAAGGUCAAAGCAUAUGAUUCCUAAUGUAACUUAGACCUUAAUUCCGAAGGAGGAGUCUAGGUCAUGAGGGAUUUAACUCCCAACUGUUAUUCUUUUCAAGAUAUAGUUGUCAUUGGCCAUUUUUAGUGAAAACAGCAUGAAAGUAUUAGAGAUGUCCUAAAAGGAUCCUGGAGGUAUAGUUUUAGGAUGGCUUACAAUGGAUCAUUAUUCACUUUUAGGACUCUUACACACAAAAUGUAGAAUACAAUGAUUUUAAAGUUCAGAUAUUUAUUUAAUAUAAUUUUUAUUGUAAUAAAAAGAAAGUUCAGUACAAUAAAUCUGCCAAUUUAAUUUGGUUUUCUAGCACAUUUUGACACAUAGGCAGCUAUUUCAAGUUUAAAUAAAUAGAUGCUUUGUAUGUAUUCUGUGUGCACAAAUGUAUGCGAUCAUUUUAACAAAUUAUAGUCCCUAUAGUUAUUAACAAAGACAACUAAUGAAGUCUAGUUUCCCAAGAAGAAAAAACAGUGCAAACAAUAUUCUUUUCUUUUUUUAUAUACUUAAAAGAGUAUUGAGAAAAAGAUUUGUUUGGGUAGUCAAAAUUUUCUACCCAAAGAACAAGCAUUGGACAUAUGGAAGUCUCUGUUUAAUGAAACAUGAAAUGAAUUAAAUAGUUGGGACACUGCAGGCUUCUCUUGGAGAAAAAGCAGAACUGUGUAGAGAAGCUUUCCCUCAGGACUCACACUUUCUCCUUCCUGACAUAGUAGUGUCAGGAUGGGUCCAAGGGGCUCUAACAGUGAGCCUGCUGAUUACAAAAUAAUGAGCUACACUUCAUUCUCCACUGCUUUUUAAACAUUCCUUCAUUCAUUCAUUCACAAAAACAGUAUUUGCUAAGUACUUAGCCUGCAUAAGCCUCAUUUACUGGAGCCAAAAAAAUUGCAAGGCAUAGAAGCCAGUGUCCACAGCUCUUUUCAUUUGUUGCUCUUUCAUUGGAAGCGACUUGAGAUGAGAUCGGGCGAGUUCCGGGUGGUAUGGCCACUUCAAAUCAAACUCUCCUCACUAUUUUUGACGUAAGGUUGAGGAAUGAGUGAUCUUACAGAUUUGGAGAUCCCCAAGACUAUCUUCAGGCUUAAAUGGCAUUGGAAGGAUGUGUAGGACUUGGACAAUCUGUUAUGAUCAUGAUUAUGGCUCAUUGCAGUGAAAAGAUACACAUUACAUUGCACCCCCGAAAUUGUACAAUUUAAAAUUGUUACAAUGUAUAAUGAUUAUCUUUUCUAUAUAUUGCCUAUAAGAUAAUAUGAAUUUUUUAGUACUGUUUCAUAUUCUACCUCAAAAUCCAAUGAAUAUUUUGCUAAAAUCUGGAGUCAAAAAGGUACAGAGUGAUAGAGCAGCAACUCUGGUACAGGAUGCGAUGAUGCCAUUUAAUAGCCUGGUAUUUUCUGGAUGGCUUCUUCCAUACAAGGUAAGAAUCUUCAUUUCAGUACAUUUGCAGAGUUUAGCUUUAAAACUCAAUGAUACAAAAACAAAGUAGGUGUAUGAAGAAUUUAUCUGAACAAAACAAAGAACAUGUAUGAGAUCCUCAUAGGUUACAUCAUAUUUACUGGUGAAAAACUGAAAGACUUUUCCUUAAACGUUAUUCUUUUGAGAGUGGAUAUCCAGUUUCCCCAGCAACAAGACAAAGAACAGGAGGAGUCUCACUUGCUGCUUCUAUCCAACAUAGUAUCAUAGGAACCAACCAGAGAAGUUAGGUAAGAAAUAUCAUAAAAGCCAUCCAAAUUCAAAAGGAAGAACUAUAAUUACAUGGUCUUAUAAAAAAGCCCCUGAAGAAUAAACAUACACAUACACACACACACACACACACACAAUUUAAAAUUAAUAAAUGUGUUCAGUAAAUUGCAAGAUAUAAUCUCAUCUAUAGUAGCAUCAAAAAGAACAAAAUACUGAAGAAUAAACUUAAUCUAAGGAAGUGAAAUACCUGUGCCCUGAAAAGUACAAACUAGUGAUGAAAGAAAUUAAAGAAGACACCAAUAAAUACGAUGUAUUCAUGUGUUGAAAUAAUUAAUGUGGUUAAGAUACAGAUUUAACCCACAGUGAUCAGAUUCAGCAAAUCCCUAUUAAAAUACUAGCAAUUUUUUUAGAGAUAAUAAAAGUAAUCCUAAAAUUUAUAUGGAACCCCAAAUGAUCCUGAGUAGAAGGGCAAUAUUUAUAGAAUGAGCUGUUGUAUUCCUGAUUUGAAAAUAAUGAUAAAGCAACAGUAAUUAAAACAGUGUUAUGGUGGCCCCAAAACAGGCAUGCAUACCAAUGCAGCAAGUGAGAGGGACCAGAAAUACUUGUGCACACGGUAAGUGUGAUGAGGGUGGUAAGUGCAUACAGUAGGCAACAGGGAAAUGACAGUCUCUUCAACAAUAGUAUGGGGAAAACUGGAACUCCUCAUGCAAAUGAGUGAAAUUGCACCCUUAGUGUGUGCGUCCGUGUGUGUGCACAAGAGCAUAUAUACAUCUACUCGAAAUGGAUUUAAAACUUAAAUGUAAACCCGAAAUUGUAUUAAACAUGUGAGAAAGCCUUCAUGAUGUUGGCCUUACCAAUGAUUUCUUGUAUAAGACACCUAAAGUACAAAUAUUAAAAGCAAGAGUAGACAAGUAGGACUCCAUCAGACAGAAAAAAUCUGUGCCCACCAAAGAAAAAUAUCGACAGAGUGAAAAAAUAACCUAAAGAAUAGGAGAAAAACUUGCAAACCAUGUGUCUUAUAAAUUCAAUAUUCAAAAUAUGGAAGAAACUUCUACAAUUAAAGAACAGAAAUGUCCUAAGUAAUUUGUUCUAAGUAAUCUGAUUAAAAAUAGAUGAAAGAUUUUGAACUGCUGCCUAUUAAUCAUUUAAUGAGCCUCCUUUGUAGCAUGCUAGGUAUUUAAUCCAGAGCCUCACACUUGCUAAAUAUGCAAGCUACCACUGAACUACCUGUUAGCAUCAAUAAAUGUUUUUGAAAGCAGAAAUUAAAUGCAAGCACCUAUUGUAUGUGGAGGUAGAAAAGACACAGUCCUAUGCGAGAAGCAACUAUGCAGUGACAAGUCAUGCUGUGAAUGCCAUGCAAGGGUUUUGGUUUCUGUAUAUGAGAAAUGGUCAUAUUGGUUUCUAUUUGCAGAAAUUGAACAGUGGUAAUUACUGUGGUCAUGGUUUGCACAGUAUCAGGCAUUAGUUGGUUAAGCCAAUAAUUCUAAUUAUAGACAUCUGAAUUAGGAGGCUUUUUAUAGCUGAGAAAUGAUAGUCUAAUCAAGAUAAUGUGGUCAUUAAUUAUAUUUUUAGAAAUCUUUUUUAAAAAUCAUGCAGGGUAAUUUAUACUAUAAUCUUUUAAUGCUUCUG